rnacentral:misc_RNA from 1 species
GUACCUACUCUCUUUGGCAAGUACUGUAAAAGAUCAGACAGAAUAUAUAUGGAACAAUAAUUAUGCACAAUAAACCACAAUGUAUAAGACCUGUCCAUGUUCCUUUUAUGUAAUGUUGAUUUAAUAUUUUAGUCAAUAAUAUUCAGCAGACUCAUAUGAUUCAAUGAAACAUAAAAUAUUUAGAGAAAAAAAAUCCAAUCGAUAAAUAACAGUAAUGAUAGAAUGAAAAGUAGAUAAAAAGAUGCAUGUCAUUUCCUGAGCUACUUCCUGUAAGCAUGAUUAUGCAUGCAAUCCUCAGAUCAGAUUAUAUUUAUUUGACACAAUGUUGUCAAUAUGAAUGUGAAUAUGUUGAAAAAAAAAUACACAACGAAGAAAAAAAAAAAAAGG